rnacentral:rRNA from 1 species
ACACUUAAACCGCCAGGGAACUACGAGCUUUAGCUUAAAACCCAAAGGACUUGACGGUGUCCCACCCAACUAGAGGAGCCUGUCCUAUAAUCGAUAAUCCACGUUUUACCUAACCCUUUUUUGCUUUAUCAGCCUGUACACCUCCGUCGUAAGCCUACCAUAUGAAUGAAAAAUAGUAGACUCAAGGAUUUUUUAUCACAAUGACAGGUCAAGGUGCAGCUUACAAAAUGGUAGAGAUGAGCUACAAUUUCUAAAUUAGAACAAACGAAAUACUGCAUGAAACACAGUCAUGAAGGUGGAUUUAGCAGUAAGUGCGGAAUAGAGAGCCCCACUUAAAUCGGCCCUGGGACG